CAGAUGAUCAACUACAUUAGGACAGAGAUACGGCCCAGGCUCUUAAGGGAGGCAGCAGUAGAGAAUCUUGGACAAUGGGCAAAAGCCCGAGCCAACAAUAUCGAGUGAGUGAAGCACAAUGCUACUUGUAAAGCUCUUUUAUUGAGUGCAUGAUUAUGACAGGACUUGAGGAAGAAGCCCUAGCUAACUCCGUGCCAGCAGCAGCGAUAAGACAGAGGGUGCAAGUGUUCUUUAGAAUGACUGGAUGUAAAGAGCACAUAAGUGGUGAAUUGGGUUAAAAGUGAAAGUCGCCAAAAAUUGGUGAAAUGCUUUCG
rnacentral:rRNA from 1 species